rnacentral:snRNA from 1 species
UGUCUCUUCGGAGACAUCCCGAUAAAAUUGGAACGAUACAGAGAAGAGUAGCAAUGGUCCAGCGCCUGCGCAAGGAUGACACGCACAAAUCGAGAAAUGGUCCAAAUUUUU